AUUGUGUGAAUACAUAGCACAUUCGAGGUAGACGCAGAGAACUGAAACAUCUAAGUACCUGCAGGAAGAGAAAGAAAAUUCGAUUCCCUGAGUAGCGGCGAGCGAAACGGGAAAAGCCCAAACCAGCAAGCUUGCUUGUUGGGGUUGUAGGACUCCAAUAUGGUAGUUCUUUCAGAUAGUCGAAUGACUUGGAAAAGUCAGUCAAAGAGGGUAAAAACCCCGUAGACGAAAUGUGGAAGACACCUAGGAGGAUCCUGAGUACGGCGGAACACGAGAAAUUCCGUCGGAAUCCGGGAGGACCAUCUCCCAAGGCUAAAUACUCCCUAGUGACCGAUAGUGAACCAGUACCGUGAGGGAAAGGUGAAAAGCACCCCGGAAGGGGAGUGAAAUAGAACCUGAAACCGUGUGCCUACAACAAGUCAAAGCCCGUUAAUGGGUGAUGGCGUGCCUUUUGUAGAAUGAACCGGCGAGUUACGAUUGCAUGCGAGGUUAAGUUGAAGAGACGGAGCCGCAGCGAAAGCGAGUCUGAAUAGGGCGUUUGAGUAUGUAGUCGUAGACCCGAAACCAUGUGAUCUACCCAUGUCCAGGUUGAAGGUGCGGUAAAACGCACUGGAGGACCGAACCCACGUACGUUGAAAAGUGCGGGGAUGAGGUGUGGGUAGCGGAGAAAUUCCAAACGAACUUGGAGAUAGCUGGUUCUCUCCGAAAUAGCUUUAGGGCUAGCCUCGGAAUUGAGAAUGAUGGAGGUAGAGCACUGUUUGGACUAGGGGCCCAUCUCGGGUUACCGAAUUCAGAUAAACUCCGAAUGCCAUUCAUUCAUAUCCGGGAGUCAGACUGUGAGUGAUAAGAUCCAUAGUCGAAAGGGAAACAGCCCAGACCACCAGCUAAGGUCCCAAAAUAUAUGUUAAGUGGAAAAGGAUGUGGGGUUGCACAGACAACUAGGAUGUUGGCUUAGAAGCAGCCACCAUUUAAAGAGUGCGUAAUAGCUCACUAGUCGAGUGACCCUGCGCCGAAAAUGUACCGGGGCUAAACAUAUUACCGAAGCUGUGGAGUACACCUUUAGGUGUAUUGGUAGGAGAGCGUUCUAAGGGCGUUGAAGGCAGAUCGUGAGGACUGCUGG
rnacentral:rRNA from 1 species